rnacentral:rRNA from 1 species
GAUGAUCGCUGGCGGCGUGCCUAAUACAUGCAAGUCGAGCGAACAGACGAGGAGCUUGCUCCUCUGACGUUAGCGGCGGACGGGUGAGUAACACGUGGAUAACCUACCUAUAAGACUGGGAUAACUUCGGGAAACCGGAGCUAAUACCGGAUAAUAUAUUGAACCGCAUGGUUCAAUAGUGAAGGACGGUUUUGCUGUCACUUAUAGAUGGAUCCGCGCCGCAUUAGCUAGUUGGUAAGGUAACGGCUUACCAAGGCAACGAUGCGUAGCCGACCUGAGAGGGUGAUCGGCCACACUGGAACUGAGACACGGUCCAGACUCCUACGGGAGGCAGCAGUAGGGAAUCUUCCGCAAUGGGCGAAAGCUUGACGGAGCAACGCCGCGUGAGUGAUGAAGGCCUUCGGAUCGUAAAACUCUGUUAUUAGGGAAGAACAAAUGUGUAAGUAACUAUGCACGUCUUGACGGUACCUAAUCAGAAAGCCACGGCUAACUACGUG